GCUCGCUCUACAUAAUAAAGGAGGGCUUCCUUGGCACAAGCGUUAGUCUCGCCUUUCCUAAGGGCUCACUUCUCAUCCCAAAGGUCAACAGAGUGAUCAGCACCUUAAGGGAAUCGGGCAUCCUGCUACGUCUAUACAGUGCUGCCCUUGGGAAUGCCUCGCACUGCAUGGAGCCCGUUACAAGCUCCACAACCAGUGACAUCCAGCUGAGGCCCCUCGAACUGAAAGACUUCUUCGGUGUUGUCUCUGUUUGCAGUGGAGGAAUGCUCCUGGCGCUACAGAUCUUUCUUCUAGAGAUUGUGUUCUUCUCAACUUCACGGUUACGAAGAAUCUGAGCACUUCUGAAGUUUGUGCCAUAAUACAAAUUUAAUACCAGGCAGUUGAAUGUAAACUAUAAACUAACAUUUCCUGUCAUAGUAAA